CGUUGUUUAUUGGAUCUCCAUUCUCUACUUGGAUAACUGUGGUAAUUCUAGAGCUAAUACAUGCGACCAAGGCCUGAACUUACGUGAUGGCUGCAUUUAUUAGAACAAGACCAACCGGCUUCGGCCGUUCUCUGGUGACUCUGAAUAACUGAGUGAAUCACAUGGUCUAGCACCGGUGAUGUAUCUUUCAAGUGUCUGCCUUAUCAACUUUCGAUGGUAGUCUAUGUGCCUACCAUGGUUGUAACGGGUAACGGAGAAUAAGGGUUUGACUCCGGAGAGGGAGCCUGAGAAACGGCUACCACUUCUAAGGAAGGCAGCAGGCGCGCAAAUUACCCAUUCUCGGCACGAGGAGGUAGUGACGAAAAAUACCAAGCUGGGAUCCAUUGGGUUCCGGCAUUGGAAUGAGAACAAUAUAAAUCUUUUAACGAGGAUCUAGUGGAGGGCAAGUCUGGUGCCAGCAGCCGCGGUAAUUCCAGCUCCGCAAGUGUAUAUCUAUGUUGCUGCGGUUAAAAAGCUCGUAGUUGGAUCUGCGUGUUUAGCGUCCGGUUCAACUUUUGGUUGUUACUGGAACGCGACACAGAUGUGCUGGUUUGGUGUUGAUGCUCUUAACCGGGUGUCAGCGCCGGCUAGCGAGUUUACUUUGAAAAAAUUAGAGUGCUCAAAACAGGCGUUUCGCCUGAAUAUUUCUGCAUGAAAUAAUAGAAUAGGACUUCGAUUCUAUUCUGUUGGUUUUCGGAAUGCGAAGUAAUGAUUAAGAGGGACAGACGGGGGCAUUCGUACUGCGACGUUAGAGGUGAAAUUCUUGGAUCGUCGCAAGACGUACUACUGCGAAGGCAUUUGCCAAGAAUGUUUUCAUUAAUCAAGAACGAAAGUUAUGGGUUCGAA
rnacentral:rRNA from 1 species